ensembl:lncRNA
CCCUCCCCCACUUUCUAUUCGACAGAUCACCCUGCUGUCACCAGUCCGUCUUUAUCAUUCGCACCUUACUCCCGUUGACAGCUUUUCCCAAAGGACCGGCUUCGCUUUUUUUUUUCUUCUGGUGGAAUACUCGUCGCUUGGCACUGAUCCCCACCACGGCUGUUGUUCCAUGAUUUUAUUACACACGGGAGCCGGGGCGUUAUGUUUCUUUGACUGCUUUUAGUGUCUUCGUCUUUUGGUGCGCGGAAAGUCUUGCAUAUUUUUCUUGUCCCGCACGGCUCCGCUCAGCAAAGCCCGCUGAGGGAUCGCGCUCGGAGGGCUGGAGUGGGCCACCCUACUAUCCUGCCACAUCUUCAAGGGUUAAAUUCACGAUUGUUGGUGAAACUUUACGCAGCUCGGAUCAAGCUUACCGCUGGAUCUCGACAUCACCAAACACACCUUUUGGAAAAGACAAACGACCACUGACUGAUCACUUCUAACAUAAGGCUGUCCAUCCACACACAAUGACUGCCUUGGCCCUUCCUACAUCCAUGUGGAGUCCACUGUGUGACAGCAGCCAGUAAAAGAAGCCUACAUCCAGAUGGCAGAGUCAGCCUUUCACUCAUGGAUCCCCUCCUCCCUUGGGCCAAAGGAGCAGGCUGGAAGUGGUGGUGGAGGUGGAGGUUUAUUAUCUCAUGAGGAUACAGCUCUAUGGACAUGAAUGACAGAUAAUCCCAAUCACAUUCCCCAUGAAAAAUAUAUAAUGUUCCACAUGAAGAAGACAUGAACCCAAUCCUGUACGACCUGAAGAACAUAUCAGUCUGGGGUUGAGCAAACCGUUCAGAACCCUCAUGUGUGCAGUGCCCCGGUCACACCUUGAUGAUUUGGAUGAUGUAUCCCAAACUUAUAAAAAAAAUAGAGAAUCGCUGGCAUACUCUGGAAUAAUAAAAUAUAUAUAUUUUUCCAACUUUGGUUGUAAACAUACCGUAUUCAUAACGAGUUUAACGUUUACAUAACGCAUUAAUAACAUCUCCUUAAUUAUAAGAUCUAUACGCUUGGACGUUGCGAUGUUGUAGUCUGCAUAGUACAGCAUGGCCCUCAAGCCCUCGUUGAAUACUCACCCCAAAGAUCUUGGGCUACAACAAGCAAGGUCCUACCUACUACAUAGGUGCACCUUCUGAUAUGAUUAUUGCUUUGUUAAUUUAGCAUAUGUUUCUAGCAUACAAUGGAUUACUGAUAUUCAGAAGUCUUUAAAGAGCAGAUGGGGGGUGGUGGGUAGCCUGCGACUUUCUGGGAUGGACCCCAGUACCUUCUCAAUGGAUGUGUGACCAAACAGAAAUGAAUUGACAAAACGAAUGCUGACUUUGCUAUUCUAUACUAUAUGGACUACUAGUAGAUAGUUAACCAAAAAAGUAGUAAUUGUAUGGAUCAUGUUACUUGUCCUUUCAGAUGGAGCCACUCCAUUUGCAUGAACAGCUAAUGAAGAAGUCCACCCUUAGUAAUGUGAUCUUACACUCUCCGCUCUAGGGACAGACUAAACAACUCGAUGAAUGGAGAAAAUUCAACCUUCGUUGCGAAUCCCGUGACAUCCAGGGAUGUAGUGUCCUAAUCCUGGCUCUUAAUGAUCACGUGUACGUGAAGGACGUGCACGUGAAGGACAGGGUACUCCACAGGCAUUUCACCCAAGAGUUUGGACUGGAGGCCAAGCGUGGGUCCGGGAACACAGGGAAAUUCUUUAGCCGUUUCCAUUGAAAGCUGGACAAUGCAAAAGGGUCUGGGGGCGGAGCUGAGAGAAACGGGAGGAGGGAGGAGAGAGAGAGAGAGGAAAAUAUGAGGGCUGAGGUGUAAUUACACCUUUACGUUCACACAUGCCAUUGCAUGCAAAGACACCUACCUAUACACUUCCCCACAGACACAUGUUUUCAUUAAAUUGUUGUUGUUUAUAACUCACUGUUUUGUGCCAACAAAGCAGGAAAAACAUGGAUACAUGCAUCAAAUACACACAGACACAGACACACAGACCCCUCGGUCUACAUUGUAGUAUAAUGGAAGUCCCCGGUGUGUGCAGUCGAUGUCUAACCUGGGUGGGGACACUCUGGGACUUCAAAUCUAGACUUUUGAAUUGAGCUAAAUUGUAUGUACUUUCCCUCUUGUUUAGGCUUCAGUCUCCCAGUCGGUGUACAUGAAACCUGGUCAUCUUCUUUGAUUCUUCCCCUCAAAAUACCAGAUCAUAACUUUACAUCAAAUCAUUUGUACAUUUUAGGUCUAAUAUAGCAACAUACAGUAUAAUGAUCUUUGGGAGGUGUCUUUUUAUAUUUUUCCCCUUCAUUCUUACUCAUGCUGUUCUCAGACACACACACAUACUCCCCUCAUUCACACACCCAUAUCCAAUAAUUCUUCCUACAUACUUCCACACAUACUUUCUUGCCCCGCCUCCAACCCACUCCCAGCCAGCCACCCCACCCACCAGUACAUACACCCCCCAUGCACCGACCCUCUCAAAUCGUUCUUUCUACAUACUUACCCCGCACAUCCACCUCCCAUACACACACCACAUUCAUUGGUCAUCACACGUACUAAAGUGCCUUUCCUUGAUAGCUGUUUGGUCCCAAGACUCCGCUCCAUUUAAUGCUUCAUUACUUGUAGUCCAUACAUCAUCAAAUUGUUUUUGUGUAUUGCUGUCUUGCGACAUUGUCCUUUCGCUUUUCCAAUUCUCGAGGGAUGUUGCAGAUUCUUGACAUCCACUUCUCAAUUUGGUCCCAGAUUUCAAUUUAUUUUCUACAAAACCAAAAGGCAUGGAUGAGGGAGGCACUUUGUGUGCUACAUUUUAAACAUUUAUCUGGAGUUACUAUCAAAUUCAUGUAUUUUAUCUCUGCUAUAGUAUAUUCGUGUAAUUACUUGGGAUUUAAUUAAUCGUAGGUCUUCAUUUGUAGUGACCUUAUUUCGCAAACAUUCCUUCCACCUGCUCUCCGUAUCUUUUGUGUCUAAGUCUACAUUCCAUUUAUUAUGUAUAUUUUCUAAUAAUUGUUCAUUGCUUUCAAUUUAAUAAGGAUGCCAUAUGUAGUCCUUAAUUAAUCUCCUCUUUUUAUCCCCUUCCUUUUUCAGAAUUUCCCCUAUUUCUGUAGCUACUAAACUGUUCCGUAUCUUAUGGUCCAUGUUCGUCUUUUAGUUCCUUAUGUAAGCAUAUUGAUACUUGGUUUAUGAUAUCUGCUAUUGUCUGGAUUGCUAAGGUCUUCCAUGUUCCCCAACAAAUUUUUGUAUUUUGAAUCUGGAGAAUACAGGAGGAGUCAAACGGCUGUGCAGGGAACAUGAUACCAAGAGCCAUAUUUAACAGGACAGUUGUACAUAUAAACACAACUGGACCAAAGAUGUCUAUCAUUGUAUUUAUGUCCACUCCCCCAUUAUUGAGCAGUUAAAAUAAGUGAACCAUAAAGGCAAGGCAAGGCAACUUCAAUUAUUUAGCACUUUUCAUACACGAGGCGGACUCAAAGUGCUACACAUUGAAACAUAGUCAUUCAAUAAAAUGAAGUAAUAAAAUAAGAUAGAUACGUAGAAGAAAAUAAAGGCAAAGUAAAGAAAAUGCAUUGUAGAAAGUGCAAUGUGAAGGCAAUUAUGCAUUGGAAUAGAUAUGUAGCAUAUUGUGUAGGAGGCCGGGACUGUAGUGUGAAUAUUUGAACUAAAGUGUGAAGUCACACUUGACAUGACAUCUGCUUGGUACUCAUACAGAGAAUGAAGGGGAAAAAUGUAAGAAAACAAUAACCACAAUUUACCGAAAAUGAUAAUAUGAAAAUUAACACAUUUCCUAGGCACCCCACGUGGAAAUACAAUUUACCCAAUAUGAAAAUGUGUGUGUGUGUGUGUGUGUGAACUAUUAUUAUUUUCAGGAAUCAUUAUCGCGUUUGGAAUUGAUUUGCUAAACAUGUAGCAAGAUUUAACAAAGACCUUUAGGACAUUUGGUUGUUUGCUUUGUUUGGAAUGGAAUCACAAAGUUGAACUAGGUAGCUUCUCUAUCCAAUUUCUGGUGUUAUUUCCACUGUAGCUUUUAGUAGCUCUUCAUUUUGUAUCUCUUUUUUCGUUUCUCAGUCUCUCUCUUUGCGGUUAACAAGUUCCUCUGUCUGUAGGGUUGUAUUAUCAUGGUUUAACAGGUUCCCAUUGCUUGUUUCAAGCAUGACUAAACUUGAUGGCGGCAGUGGCUGAACCAUGGUGCCGUUUUUCUACUUCCCAUUUACAUGCAUUGGUGAACUUUUCCUACAAGCCAGUAGUCAGACCCGGGGAAAGACCAUGCACUGCAUGUAAAGUAUCUUAAGUUACCCAAAAGGCUUUGGCGGGGUUUCUGUAAGCUAGAGAAAUCUACCAGGAAAUGUAGGUUUCAGUUAGGCAUAAGAAAGGGUUUUUGCUUGUGUACUGUGUGAGUGUGUGUAUGUGUGCCAGUGCUUUGGCUGUCCACUUGGAGGGGAAUACUGUUUCCAUUGAUAAGGGCUUAGAACAAGCCAAUGUGUGUAUUUUGAGCCUUUGUGUCCGGUUGUAAUCUUGAUAGGAGAGACUAUAGAUAGCAAUACAGGCCUCGGGGAAACAAUGCUAUCAGAAAAGGAAAAACGUUGAACCUGUUUUCGCUUGCAGAGUUCUUUAUUUUAAAAAGGCUACAUGACGCACAUUGUAAUGAACAUGAAGGGAGCACUCAUUAUUUUCACUAAAUAAAUCUUGUCCUUCCAUUAUCCAGCCAGUUUUGAAUUUGUGGGACGGUUCCAUAUAAAUUAGAAACAUGAAGG